CUGGUUUCUGGUGGAGCUGCUGCUGAGGGACACUGAGCUGUCUGCCGAAGAGUGCUAGCACACUGGGCCGGGGAUGUAGCUCAGUGGUGCCGAGCCUGCCUCAAAAGCGAAAGGGCCUGAGUUCAAUCCCUGGUACCAAAAAAAAAGUGCUAACACAUUCUCCUUGCUCUUAAGAGACAGUCUGGGUUUAUGACCUCAUUGCUGUCAUUCAUGUGAGAGUGGGAGCAGAAAAAUCAGCAGGAGAGAUUUGCAGAGCAAGUAAGACAGGACAUGGGGACCUGGGCCUAAGGCCACGGAGCCAGCCAGGACCAGGCUUAAGUGGCCAGAUGUCCACAUGGACAGGAGCCACACCAAGCCUAUGGACAGGAAAGGCAGCAGAUGAGGUGAGAAGAAGGUCCCCUCCGGCAGGCAAGGAGACAGACGGAGCACAGCACAAGGUCACGGGCCCUCAGCCAGGAGGGCCUCUCCAGCACCGGGCAGGCCUGCAGUGUGGCAGUGCCCGUGAGAGGCCAGUGUCACCAAAGUCAAAGUCCUCAAGGUCCAGAGGCCGAAGGUCUCCGAGGCCAGGGACUGGGACAACAGGCAAAAGUCCAGUUUCCGGAAGACCACAGGAAGAAGGCGGGAGCUGCACACCUGGGCCCUCGUGGUGGGAGAGGAGGGCACACACAGAUUUGAAGGCUACACUGCCCACAAGUUGCCUUCAGCUGCAGUAUGGAAGACACAUCAGAAAGCGUAGGAGAGACCAUUGGCAGCUCUUACAGCCUGACCCCUCCAGAAUGGACACAGGAGAAAGCCUGAAUGACCUGUUCGAGACCCCCAGCAAUGCAGGAUGUUCUGGGCCCCGACACGCAUAGAAGGAAGAAGCCUUCCUGUGAAUCAGGUCCCAAGCCCAGCAUGAUUCUGCUGAAAUCAACCAGACUGACUCGUUUCUGAGAAGGAACAAAGGGGCCACUGAGACUGUGACCCAGAAGCCCAGAGGAGCCUUGGACCCUAUUUACUGUCCCUUUUCCCUGGAUAAUACAAGGGAUGCGCAUUGGUUGCCCCACAAGCCCUCUGCUCCUUGGCUUCCAUGGACCCAUUUCAGCAGGUAAGUCCUUUGCAAUGAUCUGAGACACAGACUUUAGCCACCAGGACAUCUGUCGUCCUCUGAACACCUGCUUCCACCUGUGCAUCACAGUGACAGCCGGCCUGAUACACACCAGUGAGCACACCCAUCCCUCUGACAGAGACACACCGAGCACCACUUAAGCUGGCACACUCAAAUCUCUAGCAAGCCCC
rnacentral:lncRNA from 1 species